UUUUUAAUGCUGGGAAUAUAACAAGAGUAUGGCUGUAAGAUCACAUUUUCCUCUUGAUUGCUGCUCCAUUGCAGACCUUUAUCUGGAAAUAAAGACAGUAAUUAGUGUCCUGUACAGUGAGUAACAGCCAUCAAGGUCAGCAAGUUUGCACAAUUUUUAAUCUUUGUGUGCUAUUUAACUAAUACCAGACAUGACCAUUUGUACAGUAGAACAACAAAGAUUGAAUCUGUGGAAAAGCACACUGAUUGAAGCAGUGAUACUUGUGUUUAUGUUGCAGACUCUGAUUGUGGGUUCUUACCUUGUUGCACAUGGAUUCUUCAGUGUGUAUGCAAUGUGUGUGGACACUCUGUUCCUCUGCUUCUUGGAAGACCUGGAGAGGAAUGAUGGUUCGAAUGAGAGACCCUAUUUCAUGUCCAAAGCACUCCUGAAGAUCCUGAAAAAAAAAAAUGAAUGAGAACUGUGGAGUGCAGCCUGCAACUUGAGUCAAUCCUGUAUCUAAAGAAUCCUGGAUCAACCUUGCCACUAAUACAGUGUGGCACAAGACUGAGCAUGAAGAGCUCUAGACUUUGAUAUGCAGUCAGCCAUGAGGUCCAAUUUGUAACCGUUCUAUCUGCAUUACUGCAGUCUCCACCUCCACUGUAAUGUGCCAAAAAGGGGCCAUGUUUUGAGAUAAAAUUAGGUUCUUAUCAUCUGAGAGAUGUUGCAUUUUUUACAUUUAAGAGGAAGAAAGCUCACUUGUCUGUAGUUAGGUGAUAGCCAUUUGGUAUAGACUGAUUGUUCCGAUUACCACAAUGUCAUGGAUAGAUUCAGAUGGCAUUUAUAAACUUGAACUAUACUGUCAGUUAAGUUUUCAUGCACCAUGUCCUGACUUCAGUGUUCCACUUAGCUUAGUUUGCUACACCUGACAGUGAACUUUAUUUUUGCCUGUUACACAGGCAGUUUACUGUACAUCAACUUGGAAGUGCACAUGCUGAAUUUUCACCCCUACCUCCUGACUGUACUAACUGUUGCCACUUGUAUGGAUUCCGGAGUGCUCUGAAAUUUCCAGUAUCCCAUCCCCUCUCUCAUUAAUUUUUGAAGUGAGUCUUUUGGAUAACAGCCUCAAAAUAUUUGAGAUAAGCAACUAAUCUAUUCUGGUCUCAUCCCUAAAAUUAGUGCAGUUUGUAUCCUACUCCAGAGAAGUGCUAAGAGUAAAUUGAAUGUCAAGUGCCCAUAAUCUUCCAAACUAAAAAGUCCUGAAGUGUCAAUAGCAUUAUUGUAGCUCCUGGGGGCUUGUGAUGAGUUGCUUUGGUUUGUUUGCUGUUUUAAGCUAAUGAGUAACCCAUUUAGGGGUGUUAAAAUCAUGUGCUCUUCAUGCUAUUACAAACAGUAUAUUUAUUUACAGAAUAUUGUCCCUUAGGCAAUAAGAUUUGAUAUUGAGUUCACUUCCUUAGGUUCUUAGGGUUAAGCAACAGAAUGUAAUGUUCUUGUCUUAAAGAUAAGAAUGAGGCAUUAGCUGUUUUUAAAUGACUAUUUUCUGAGAACCUUGUUAAAUCCAAGUGGCAGAUACAAACCUCCCUCAAUCAGAGAAGGCUCAGCCUAACUAAGAAGCAGCUUGUUUGUUUUAUUGGGAUUUUAAAAAGUUAUUUUAACAAUGAUAAAGAUAUAGCUUUACUGUAUAAAUGAAAUUACAAUGUUAACUUGCUUUAAAUAAAGUUGUCCAGAUAUUGCUUCCUCGUACAAAUAUAACAGAUGGGUAUACAGCCAAUCUUUUUAUGCAUGCCACAGUUAGCCAAUGAAAUAAGUUGUUAAGGUUAUUUUUGUAAACUAAGGAGGCUGUUUUGGAUGUAUUCAUGUCAAGAGCUGUUGGAAUUUAAAUCUGUUCUGUAGCAGAUUGAUCCCACAGGCCUAGUUCUUGCUUCAUUCCAUAUUAAAUCAAAAGUGCCUAAUUAUAUCACUUAUUCUAGAACCA